rnacentral:lncRNA from 1 species
AUUAUUAGAUAUUUUUAUAAUAGAUAAAUAGUUCAAAUAAUGAUUAUUCAAAUAAUCAUUUUUUACCGCAAAAGUCUUUUUUUUUUUAUUAAUCACAAAAGUUCUCUCAAUCCCGUUGAUAUGAGCUGUGGCUUGACUACACGUGUCAUAAUAGGAGUGGUUUUGAAGGAGGCCCAUAAUCAGAGUCACGAAUAGUGUUGGGGAGUGAGGAAAUGUCUAGCGAUAUGUGAACGUGUAAGCAAUUAAUUGGUGCAAUACCGGCGAUACAGUGGACCAUUUCCCGGUUUCACUGUGUUGCCGACGUCUGCCUUUGGAUGGAUGGCAAUUAUGCAUUUUGCCCGCAUAAGAAUUACUUUUUUAUUUAGUGGAGCAGCUGAAUGGCACAUCAAUGAUGUAUAUCACAGUUGAAUCUGAUUCCAUCAAUUAAUUCUUUUUCAAUUUCAUUCUGCC